UACGUAGGGGCCUAGCGUUGUCCGGAUUUAUUGGGCGUAAAGAGCUCGUAGGCGGUUCGGCAAGUCGGAUGUGAAAUCUCCACGCUCAACGUGGAGGGGCCAUUCGAAACUGCCGUGACUCGAGUCCGGUAGGGGAGUGUGGAAUUCCCGGUGUAGCGGUGAAAUGCGCAGAUAUCGGGAGGAACACCAGUGGCGAAGGCGGCUUCCUGGCCUGUUCUUGACGCUGAGGCGCGAAAGCUAGGGGAGCAAACGGG
rnacentral:rRNA from 1 species